CACUGUUCAAAGUGGGCACGGAAGGCCUUUAAACAUCUGAAAGGCAUGGAGAAAAUGGUGCACUUCCAAAGUUAAUACCUUUUUUUUCUAAGGAGGAGAAGUUUAUUUGGUUCACCUCAAACUUAGUAUCUUGAUGAUUUGGGAAUAUUUGUCUGGAAACUUUCCUGUCUAUUUAUUUCCAAGUGAUUUUCCGGGGAGUAAUCACUACCGCGGAAAGCGAAAGCAAAGGACGGAGUCGUAGUUUCAGCCAUAGUCUCGGUUUCCCUGGAGCUGUGUCAAGCAGCGAGACUGUGACCUUGGCCUGCGCCAAUUUGUA
rnacentral:lncRNA from 1 species